rnacentral:rRNA from 1 species
GUGUCAGCCGCCGCGGUAAAACGUAGGAGACAAACGUUAUCCGGAGUUACUGGGCGUAAAGGGCGUGUAGGUGGUAGUGUAAGUCUGGCGUGAAAUUUUUCGGCUUAACCGGGAAAGGUCGUCGGAUACUGCACAACUAGAGGACGGUAGAGGCGUGUGGAAUUCCGGGUGUAGUGGUGAAAUGCGUAGAGAUCCGGAGGAACACCAGUGGCGAAGGCGACACGCUGGGCCGUACCUGACACUGAUGCGCGACAGCAUGGGGAGCAAACAGGAUUAGAUACCCGUGUAGUCC